UUUUUCUUUUUUUUUUUUUUUCUGUUCUCUUUUAGUCUAGCCUCUUUGUUUCUCUUUAUACACUUGUGAUACCAUGUAAUUAAAGUAGAGGAGAUGAAUGAGAAUAUUACACAAUUUCUUCAUUUUUAAUCUCGCACUGUGUUGCAUACUAAUCGGUAACUACUCUUUUGCUUUUGCUUUCUCACCUUCUCCCCACAAUAGUGUCAACAACUAGCUAGUUUCUCUUAGAGGAAAAAAAAAAAAGAAUAGAAAAUAAUUGUCAACAGGUACCUUUUUUUUUUUUUUUUAAGUCAACAGAGAUCACCGGGAGGGAGAAAUAAGUAGCUAGAUGUUGACUAGCUCUCCAAAUAAAAUUGCGUAGUAAAUUCAACUGCAAGACUUUGCAAGGGUGUCCAUUAGUUGGCGUAGGAACAUUGGUUGUACUGUAAAACCAUUCUCACUGCUGUCAAUGGCAAAAUAUUCCUGAUCUUUGAUUCACUCUGGUCUCCAAAUGUCUCUCCGGAAGAUGCAAUUAAGUGAAAUAAUGCCGUUGCAACGUCAUUAAGAAAAAGUCAACAUCGAGCUAGAGAGAAAAAGUCAACACUGACAGAAACACUUUUACUGUUUGGCGUCGAGGAAAAAUCGUUAUCGGCCAACCCUUUGAAAAAAAAAGUUCGACAUAAACGCAUAUAUAUGGUGGUUCAAAUUUCUCAUCUGAAGAUUGUGAAAAAGAAUUUUGUCUGACCGUGGUGGUAUUGUAACUAAAAGUCUUCCGAAAUAAAUUUUAAAAAAAAAAAAAAUUGUGAAGAAAGAGACUGAUCCAAAACGGAAGGAUUUCAUGACGAGGGGAAGGUGGAACUGGAAAGUUUCGAUGAACAAGAUUUGCUUGCAUCCAUUUACCUGAGCAAGUAAUUGUCACCUCGCUAGUUCCAUCAUACUCCAUUUCAAGCUAAAAUGGUCAUCUCAACUUUUAUUACACCAUAAUCUAUCUAAUUUAGCUAACACGAAACUCAAUUACACCCAGGACAAGCUUGAAAUGAAAACUUGUCUGAAAUGAAACUCGUGAGGCCCCAUCUGCUGGGAGGGCCGAUGUCACAUAAGAAGAAAACAAGGAACGAAUCACCCGCGUCUAAGCAUCGAAACUCCAUCAAAUUCUAGCAUCAUCAGUCUUAAAUUUGAUAUCGGUCACAAGCCCAAGAAACCCAGGUUACUAAAGAUCAAUCACCCUAAAUGGAUGGAGAUCCAUCUCAAUAUAACUCAACAGAAGUUCAAAGCAUGUAUCAUAGAGAAGUUCUUGAGAGGAAGAUAUCAUUUUGCUUUGAGACCUAACUCCACAAUGCAUGGUGGAAAUAGUGGGCCAUGAGAAGUAGUUGCCUGAAAGACUACAAGCAAUAAGAUGCUCUGUCUCAAUAGAGAUUAAUUACCCUUCAGUCUUCCUAACUUCCAAAACACAAGAUGCUUACAAACAUGCUUGCUUUCUGUUAAGUGUUGAUUACGAAUCCAAAACUGAAAGGAAAAUCAACAAAGAAGUGGCCAUAGAGGUAUAAUGGUCACCAUAGCACUGGACCAACCAAAAGUGGACUACAAGAAAUCACUAAAAAUUUAGAGAAAUAAGAUACAGCGGUACAAGGAAAAGAGGUUAUGUAGGUAUAAUAAGAGUAACUGGCGUUUAAUUUUGAUCAAACAUGCAUAUCUCUAUGUCAAUUUUCCUGUACCAGCAUAUUCAAGCUAAAUUUAUUCUGGUUUUCCAUGAAGUAUUAGCAAACAACUUUUGCCUUUGAUGACCCUGACAGAUUUCCACAGGAAUCAUCACUCACAGAGAGCAAACAAUGAAGAAGUAAAGCAGAAGAGUGGCAAAGAGAAGGCAGGUCUUGGUCAACAUCUCCAUGAAUUGUAUGAAACGCAUGGGGUUUACGAAUGAAAGGUAACAUUGGUUUAUAUGGAAGAAAUACAAAUAAAAAAAAAUAUGUAAUGCAAGUCAAUUAAAUUUGCUUCAAAUAUGAAGUCAAUAUGCAGAUCAUCCUUUGUAUAUCCCCAAUCAUCCAUGCUCCAUCACCAUAACCUUCACACUGUCUGAUACAUCUUUAAACAUAUUAACCAGAAAAACAAAGUAAAGGAAAAGCAAUUAACUCAAUCAAUUAAGACUACUGUACAUACCAUUUCAAUAAUCAAAGCAUGAAUAACUGGUUAAAAUCAUCAUCCAGCAUAACAUUUCAUAGAAUAAAAAAGUUAUGCUAAACAUAAAACUGCUCAAAUUUGCCCCCAGUGUUAGAACAGAUACAGUGCAUGCAAGACAAGCCGCACAUUCAUCUACUCCCAUCUUAAUUUUACUUACCUCGGCCAACAAAUAGCGGAAAAGCAGAAAAGAAUAAAAUAUCAAGUUUAAGUCAUUUUUUACAACACUUGUAGAAAGCACAUUGGUUGUCAUUGCGUGACAUGUCAUCCAUAAAAAACAACAUAUCUAGCAUAAUCAGCAGAUCACAAAUUUACUGCCUGUUAAAAAACAAAACGUAAUUUUCACACAAAAAUAAUAACUCAAGCUCAGAGAUUUGAAAACGCUUUCUCCAAUUGGGUCCUCAAAGAGAGGACUGCAAAUUUGAGACUGGACAUCUGUUUUUAACAGACAAGUAGGCAAUAAUACUCUAUUCCCCACCCUCAACACCCCCCCCCCAAAAAAAAUUGACAAUGAUCCUGACUACCAGUCAGCAAAAGAUGGCAUAUGCAGCUAUACCACAUACUCUUGAAGCUAAAGCUUUCCAUCUAUGAACUUUGUUUAGAAUGAGCAAGUAAUUGCCCUACUCCUCUGGCAAGGCUCAGCCUUUGAAGUGAAAAUCACCAAUACCCAGUAACACAAGAUUUUAAUAAAAUUACAAAGAGGGAUGGAGAUAAAUAUACGAAAGUAACAAUCUAGUAAGCAUACUGUGAAACUGUUCCCUAUUUUAUUACCGUCUUUUACUUUUUCCUCUUGUAAAUUGUUUUUUUGCAAGACACAAUUGGCGGAGUAUGUCUCCUAACUAAGUGAUGCAACCAACCAGUGAGCUACUCCUAGUUUCUCAAGCAAUGUCUACACCUAUCAACCAAACAAGGAAGCUCCACAGGACAAGACCAGCUUCCAGCAGAAAAGCAUCUCCAACAACAUAAAUAAUUUUUAUCCACCAAAAAAUUAUUAGUGCGAGACGUCUCUGCUGAUGCAAGUCAAAAAUCCAAACAUUAGGCUUUACCUCAGAUAUUUUGACUUAUGCUUGCUGUACUCAAACUAGGGGACAAAGUUUUCUUAGCGCUCAAGUUCAUCAAUUCCUCCUUGUUUGUAGCAUGAAUGAGACAUCAAACUAGUUUCCCCUUUUUCCUUCUGGGAAUUCCAAACAUUGACAACAUACAUACCCAUGCUCCCAAUAUACAAAGACAACUCAACGUGUGAUUAUUUUUUCCAGUCCUGGAAAAGGUUGCAGGCAGCAGAAGGAUAGGACAAACAACAAUAAUCUGAUUUGCAAUUGUACACAGGCAAAAAGAAACUUAAAUGUAUAACUGUUGUGCAUCCAGCAUCAGCAAGGCUGAAUAUCCUAGCCAUCAACUGAGCUUAUUACAUGGAAUGAGAUCUAUGUUGUUCCUCGUGAACUCAAAGGAGGAGAACCAAAGAAGUUCUAGUCUUAGAGUCCCUCCUCAAAGCAUACUUUAGUUGCUACAUUUAACAUCACCAGAUCAACUUGGUCACCAAGGAAACUUUAUCCCCAAAGCUAGAGAAGCAAAAAAGACUAGAAAUAUUUUUAGUGUACAAGAAUCCUUCAACCCUCACCCCUGCCUUGGUCUAAAACCACUUUUACACCAAAAAUAAAAAAAACCACCUUAAUAAAACCAACCUAGAUAGCCUCAUGUAACAAUGACCGUGAGCAAAACCUUCUAAUUGAAUACCAUGUAGACCAGAUUAACAGCUGCAAUGACUAUGAAUACAAUGUUGCAACUAUCUUGGAAGACAUUCAGGAACUAAGAACAGGUUUUGAAAGCUGUAGUUUCUUUUUUGUACCCAGAUCAGAAAACGAAAUCAGCCAUACACUAGCUCAUUUUGCUGUAAAGUUUGUGCAUGAUGUAGAAUGGGAACAAGAUUUCCAAUAUAGCUGAUAGACAUAGAACAGAAGGAAAUGAAGGCAGUGGCCCCUUUUUGUAAUUAACUCUUGUACUAUCAAGUGUUAAUACCCAUAUACAUAAAACUGUUAACGUUUGUUGAAAAAAAAAAGAAUACCAUGUAGACAUAUGCUAAUAAAGCUCUAGUUUCUUUAAAUAUUUAAAAAUUCUCUGACACCAAAAAUGUUGUUGCUAAGAUCUUCUAAUCCAUUUUUCCUGAAUACUUGCUGCAUAAAGCUACAAUACUUGUCACAUAUUGAACCUAUGAACUCCCACUGCCAACCAACCAUAAUGCAAGAGUUACUAUAAGCAGGAACCUAGUACCAAACACCAAUCCUAAGGCCCUAAAAAAUUUGAAGGAUUUGAGGUCAUGAACCCCAUGCCAAUUGUGAUAACUGAUAAAUACCCACUCCGUCAAUUUUUGUGACAUUUAUCAACUUUCCUUGAUAAAUUAAACUCACCUAAAUGACAACCAUAUUUAAAUACCAAAUAUAGACAAUUCAAAGGGGGAAAAGAAAUUGAAAUAUUCCACUGCAGCAGAACAAAAUGACACAUCAAGAAAACACCAAACAUGCACUGUCACUUUUUUUUGUCACAUUCAUCAACUUCCCCCAUCAUUUCAAUGCACAAAAAGACAACCAUACCAAAAACAGACAAUUUAAGGAGGGGGGCUGGAGGAGGAGAAAUACCACCAUUGCCGUAGUUUUUAACGGUUUCUACCAAUCUGUUAAUUAAAGCCCGUCCACAACAAACAUUUUUAACAACGUGAACAACUAUGGAAAGCCCUAAGCAGAACAAUCACCAAAUCAACCCACACAUCCCAGCACAUUUCCUGACAGAAAAGAGAAAAAGAGACUAAAAUGAUAAAGGAACAUCCAGCUAGACAACAUUAUAGCAAGGCAGUCAAAAUAUGCCCAAGAACUCCAGUAAUAUUACAAAUUCCAGAUCUCGACAUAACGUAGAUUAAGUACUCCAACUAUAAUUCCUAGAGAAGAUCCUCAAGACGUCACAUUUCUCGCAACAUUAACCAUAUAGUAGUAAUUAAGAAACCUAGAUAAACUCUCAAGAAUCAAUUUUGAGAGCUUCUACCUCCCCGCUUAUCCCACCAUCAUCCGCGGCAUCCUCCUGCGGCUUGUUCUCCGAUACAGACGACGGAGCAUCAGCAGCGGCGGAAGCAGAUCUGGACUUGACAGUAUCGAGCAUGCGGCGAGAGAUCUCCUUGGAAUAAAUCUGCAGAAUCUCGAUGCCGUCGUCAUCGGUGGAGGCGGAAGCACCGGCAGCCGCGUAGGCCUCGUCUUCAAUCCUCUUGGCGGCCUCGGACGCCUCCUCGGUCGGAAUGACGCCGUAGCGCUUGGAUAGAACGGAGGGAGACGACAGCGUCUCGAUGAGGCGAUUGAUCACCGCGUCGCGAGUGCGCUGAGUUGGCGGCCAAAUGCUGAAGGAAACAUUUCCGAUGCUUUUCUUUGAAGAGGGGUCGGACGACGCCGUUUGGUCGACCUGGGGCUGUUCGGUUUCAGCCAUUGUUGGGGUUUUCGGGAGCUCAAUUUCUUCUCUCGGGGUUUCUUCGAGGUUAAUUUGAGCGGAAUUGGCGUUAUUAUUGUCGGUCAUUUUCAGUGUGCUUCCCCUUUUUACUGUGGCGGAGGGUCGGGAGAGAUGUUUGAAGGAGAAAACAAUUUAAAAAUGAGGGUGGAAAUUACUGCGGGAGGGACUAUAUAUAGGCAAAGGACGGGGGCCAGGUGGCAAAAUUUUGCUUAGCUAAAAAUGACAGUACACCUGUGUAGAUUGAUAACUUAAGAACCGUCCAAGUUGGAGGAAAAGGCAUUGAGCUUGUCUCUUCUUUAUCCUCCCUCAAUUAAGGGGGAUGGGAACAAGUUUCUCUUUUUUCGUACAUUUGCUGUAAUUUUUCCCAGCUUGAUUUUGCUACAGUUUUUUUUUUUUUUUUGUAUGUGUUUUUUUUUUUUUGGGGGGGGGGGGGGGAGGGGUUCAAACAAAUUAAAGCUAUAAAUUGAAAAGAAAAAAAAAUUGAUCAUUUGGAAGUCAAAGUUGCCAAGGAUCCACCUUUCUUUAAUUUCAAGCCAAGCUUUUUAUGGCCAUUGAUGUAGACUAAUUGUAUGUUUUUUAUAUGGAGACCAAAUAACUGCUGAAAGGUGAAAGAUUGCUGGUAAGAAGACUUGGCUGCAACAUUUUGAGGCCGUUCUUCUACAGCUUUGACAGCAAUUGGGUAACAAAGAGUAUCCGUAAAGGUUCAAGUUUGAUGCCUAUUAACUAUUAAGAGCAAUCUUGUGCUCAGUGUUUUAGGAAUUAUAAAUGUUGUAUGAUAUGAACAGCCUAGAGUCUUCAGAUGAAUUGGUUGUUCUUGGUUUUUCCAGCAUUUCGAACUGCAGGUCAGAGAGGUGGGAUUCGUGGGCUGCAUCCUCAGAAAGGUCCUCCUUUUGUCAGCAACAAAUUCAACGAAAGCAAACUCAGAGGUUUACAUUUUAAUGCAGCAAAAAUACAAUAGAGGCUGAAUGUUGUCCAAAGAUCGCAGCAUGAAUAACUUCAAGCUCUUAGAUUUUCCAUAUAUUGGCCAUCAACAUUGCAAGUCGAUGUUGGGAUAAAUUCUACUGCUGCAAUGCGCCUUAGAUAUCUCCAGUAGUCACCGUAGGGAGAUGAACCAAUUGUGGUGCAGUUGUAGUUCAUCACUUUUCCAGAAACAGGAUCAUUGCUGUAAGCAAAUAUUACGUCAUUCUUUGUGAAGCAUUCUACUACUGCUUUUGGAGAAGAAACUACCACUACAUUACGGGCUCCAAAUUUAGGAAACAUAGCAUCACCAUACUUUCAGGAAGGUUGUGCAUAAAUCUGUGCGUUGGCCUUUUCGCGAGAUGGAGAUGACCUAUAAUAGGAAGAGCCUUUGGACCUGGUGGUAGAUUUUUAGGCUUUCUGAAACUGAAUUUGAGAAGAAUGAAGGAAAGGGAGAAUAAAAGAACCAAGUUGAGGUACUGAUUGGCUCCCAUUUUCUCCCAACCCUAUUAUCAUUUGUAACUUGUAAGCCCCAAUUGAUUGUAUAGAUUGAAUUCAGGAUUGAUUUUUGACACUCAUUUAUAGAUCCCUGUCUGACCACUUUACUUAUACAUGGUUCAUCGGAGAUUUACCUUCUGAACAUUAUGUCUGGUGAGUUAAUGAAAGAGUGAAAAUCUGGGAAGCUCCUAAAUUAUCACCUUGUUCACUUUUGGCCGCUGAUCUAAAUUUUGUUUCGGAUUGACCUCUGAACAAUUAAAAGUGCAUAUUUUAAGGAAUUCUGAUAAUUUUAGACGAAAGUCUAGCGGGAACCAAACGGCAUUUUGGGGCGAUUGCAACGAUUAGAGUAUUAACAGGGUAUUGUGGUAAAGGGCUACCAUUGUCUACUCAGGUUAGGAGAUAUAAAUGCCACUCACAAAACCAAACGAACUUUCAACUAUAGAUGCAGUAAUUUGUACUGGAAAGCAUCCUUUUGCAUUUAAGGACUACAAUGUUGGAAAGCAAUUUGCUGCUGCUAUCUCAGACUCCAAGUUGUGAUUUCCCAAGCAAUGCACCACUGCAACACGAAAAUGAUAGUAGUAGGCUACAGCGGCUGCAGUUAUCCCUUACAGAGUUGGGAUAACAAAUGUAUCAUGGUUUGUCGAGGUUGUAGAGGGCUUCCAGGGGCUCUUUCUUGGGCAUGGUUAGUCCUGUCCCUUCUGUCAUAUCUAUUUUCUGUUCGCCUUCCCUCUCCUAAUCAAAGCACUGGAUUAAAGCUCCCAAGGCAAGUGCUACAACCCUUCUGCCUAAAUUAGUCCCCAGACAGGCUCGUCGCCCUGCACCAAAUGGAAUCAGCUUAUAUCCUUCGUUUACCCUACCAUCAAAGCUCUCAGGCUUGAACUUUGUUGGGUCGUCCCAUAUGUUUGCUACUCUCAUGAUGCAGUAUUCAUCUUUUCAUCGUUAACAAGGCAAGUAAUAAUUAGGAGCAAGGAAGGUUUUGUAGUAAGUAUCUUACUGCUCAAAGAGUAAUUAUAAAUGCCUACAUGUUAGUCACUAACAUCAGAAAUUGAAAAUAUGGUGUUAUUAUUACUGAAUAAGUGCGCUGCAACAAAUGUCAUGGAAAAACUGAAGAGGCAAACUCAAGGAAAAUGGAGAACGUUGAUGUUUGUGAAAAACUUGGCAGUGUAGUCAGCUUGCGGAGAAUAGACUCUAAAAUAGAAAUAGAAAUUAGAUAUAGGAGAACAAGCAUAAGUUUUCCCCAUUGGCAAGACAUCGUGAAGCUAAAAUUCUUACCAGUAUGACGGAUUUGAUAACUACAUCAGAAUCGUCGUAUUCAGGUUCUGUUUCUUGUAGUGAUAGCAUAACAUCUAUCAAGGUUGUCAUCCUUUCAUUGUUGCUUUUACCUGCCUGAACCGUUUCGCUCCUAAUUUUUCGGCCCUCGUCAACAAGUUUCUGGAAGAAGUUGUCCAUAUCCAAGCAUUGUGUAUCGUGUUUUAAUUGUAUGCCUCCCAAUUUAGAUUCUGACUACCGACUGCUGUCCAAAGAAUCAGCCCCGAUUCACAUUUUUGUUCAGCUUUAUUACCUCUAUCGUUGUACAUAUGAAAUCUGAAUCUAUCCGACGUUUUGGAGCGAAUAUUGGUACCAAUGACUCAGUAAGGAUGGAAAACAAUUCACUGUGAGCCUGAUUUGCAAAAAUCCUGCUUUGUCAAAGGGAAACAACCCAACUUUGAGUUGAGGACUUGAGAUGCUGAUAAAUAAAAGUCACCACCAGCUAUCGACUAUAAGAAAAAGAUUGGAUUAUUUGAAUAAUAACCCAAAACAAAGAAAGAAACGUGCCAUGCUGUAGACUGGGAAUCUUUGCAGCUUGAACAUAUAUGAUGAAGAGGAGACAUCGGUUUUUUUUUCAGCAAGUUUUUCUUGCCUGCCACUCGUUGAUAAUAACUUGAUAGCUUGUACUGUCAAGAUUCACAGCAUCUAGUUGGCUUGCAAAGUUGAUAGAGAAGUCAGAUUGAUUCUUGGCGCCGAAUGCAUAGGGCCUUCAAACGGAUAGCCUUCUGCAGAGUGAUUCUGCAGAUAAUAAAAGGGAAUGUUCAAUUCACCAUCCUGUUCAACUUUAUCCCAAUCAAAAUACUGGAUGAAUGUACCCACUGUGAAGCUUUUCCUACUGCAUCUGGAGAAGAAACUACCACUACUUUUUGCAUUUGGUUCAGUUUUGUCAAAAUGGUGGUCGUAAGAAAAUUUUAUAGUUCAAGAAUAAUGUGAAAAGACUGAAUAUCUUUUCUUAGAAAGAGUACACCUUCAAUUUGUCAACUUAAGAGGAUGCAAUUGGAGACCAUAUUGACACCACUAAUUUACUUUUGUGUAGUUCUGUUAUGGCUACUUAGCGUACCAUGCAACGAAAAGGGGAGAUGUCAAAUUGCCAAAAAGCCAAUAGGGCUGGAGCACCUUGCCAAGGAUGGCUAGCCUGAAUCCCUGUUGGUAACCAAGCAAGAAAGUACCACUGCUGCCUAGAUUCCAGAACCAUAGGAGAACCAUAGGUUUGACAGAGUCCAUCUAAAGUCUAAUGAAUGGGCUGUUUCAAACUUUGAAGAGAUCAUGUAGAUGACCUGUUAUUUGCAGAGCUAGACGGCCCAGGGUUGUCUAAUUUGGUGCCUUCUUUUCAAAUACAGGGACUUGAAUACAAAAGAAAACAUGGAAAACAAAAUAACCAAGUUGAAAAAAAGUUUCAUAUCCCAUUUCACCAUUUCAGUGGAACUCAAUAACACAGUUUUGAUGAUUUAUAAGCAAAACUUAUAUUCCUUAUUCGAAUAUCCUUAAUUUUAGCAUUCAUUUUCAAGGCGGCACUAAAGAAUGCUGUUGAAGUAUUGCUUGUCGAGGUCGGCAUAUAGCUUCCAAGGGCUCGACUUUUGGAAUGCUAAAGCCCCUGCCUUCAGUCAGGUCCACCAUCUCUUCACUAGGUCUCUCCCACUCAAACACCUGAACAAGUGUUCCUAAAACAAAUCCAAGCACCCUAGUUCCUAUCCCUGCACCAGGGCAUCCUCGCCGUCCGGCACCAAAAGGAAGCAUUGUAAAUCCAUCGUCUCUCCUCUCCUGGUGCCUCUCUGGUAUAAACUUAGUUGGAUCUUCCCAGAGCUUGGGGUCUCUGUGGAUGGCCCAUAAGUUCACCAGCAACAUUGUACCUUUCGAUACAUGAUAUCCAGCAACAGUACAGUCUUCAGAGGCUUCAUGAGGGAUCAGAAGGGGAACUGGUGGAUACAAACGCAGGGUCUCUUUGAUUACAUUCUGUAGAUAAGUCAAGUUUGGCAAGUCUUGCUCUUCUAAAAGCCCGUCUUCUGGAACAUGAGCAUCUAUCUCAGCUUUGAUCUUUUUGAUGGCUUCAGGUUGGUUGAGGAGCAAAGCCAUUGCCCACUCCAGGCUUAUUGACAGUGUAUCUGUUCCAGCAAUCAAUAAUACCUGUAGAAUUUGCAAGAUGAACAGAAUAUUACACAAAUUGCCAUACUUGAGGUAUAAAAUAAUUUCAGUUGACUCCCCCGACAUAAAUUGUCUAUUGUCAAAUUGGCCUGUAACUAAUACACACACACACUACAGAGUACAAACUAAUGGGAAAAACACACCCUAUGGAAGUUAUUAGAAAUAUAAUUUUUCCUUUUGCAAAAGAAAAAAGUUAUGAUUUUUUUUUUUACAACAAAAAAAUUUGGAAGUAAAAGUUAUUAGAAGUUACUAAACUAAAGUAAUUAUCUUUAGUAUACUUUAGUGAGAGUAGAUUUGAAAAAUCAAAAGAUGACACAAAAUCAUUACUCCCUCCAUGUCAUUAAAAAUUAAUCCUAAAAAUUGUGUUUUUUAGGAUUAACUGAAAGAAAAAAACUUUUAGGAUUAACAUUUAAUCACAUGGAGGGAGUAAUCCUAAAAGUUUUGUGUUCUAAACUUUUACAUGGUCUAAACUAUUUGUCACCUUCAACACAUCAAAACAUAAUCAUUACCUUUUUACUCAUGUAUCCCUUAACUUCUUGUAAAUGACAUGAGUUGUACCAUUUAAGUAUUAAAUAUAUGAGCAACUAUCAAUAGGAGCACAUUACUGAAUUCCGAUUCUCAAAAUUCAAAAGAAGACAAGAGGGAGUACAAUUCGAUUCCAACUUAAAAAACAUCAGAAACAAAAAAAAAAAGUAUAUAUAUAUAUAUAUAUAUAUAUAUAUUUAUUUAUUUAUUUAUUAAAGCAUUAAAUGAAGAUUGCAGGAUGAAGAAGUUACCAUUAUAAUUCCUUUUAUCAGCUCAUCUGAAUAAUAUUCAUGUUCAUUUUCUUGCAGCGAGAGCAAAUGAUCUAUCAUGGUGGCACUUCCAUUGCUACCAGCUGCUAAAAGUUGCUUACGCUCAUCCACCAUGUCCUGCAUGAACUUGUCAAGCCUUUGCAUCAAAGUUGUGAAUCUUUUUUCCAAUCCCUUAAAAUCCACCCACCUCAAGAAAGGCAGAUAAUCCCCAAGGUUCGACCUUCCACUAUUCUCAAGCAUUUCCCUGAUAAAAAACCUCGCCUUUCUCGCCUCCUCGGCAUCCGCCACACUCUCUCCAUAAUACCUCUUUCCAGCCAUAGUCAUCGAAAGAAUAUUGAAAGCAAGCUCAACAAACUUAGACUUCAAGUCCACUUUUGUUGAUCCUCCACCUUCAUUACACUUGUGCAUCAGUUCCCUUAAUAGCAGCAUCAGUUCCGUUUUUCGAGUACCUAUGAAAACAGCAAUACGAGCUGGAGAGAAAAUCUCCAAUGCUGCUAAACGGCGAAGAUUUCGCCAAUGAUCUCCAUAAGGGGCUACGCUGAUGGUGGUGUAGUUGUAACUGAAGUGUUUUGAUGAAAGGCUUCGAGGGCGGUUCGCAAAGAUGAUGUCGUUCUUGGUGAAGCAUUCUUCGACUGCUGAUGGUGAGGUGACGAUAAGGGCCUUACGGACGCCUAGCCGGAGAAGCAAGAUUUCACCAUACUUAGCCGAAAGUGAUUGUAGAGUCUGGUUGAGUGGUUCUUUGAGAAGAUGGAGGUGGCCUAUAAGAGGAAGUGAAGGUGGACUUGGGGGUUGGUUUUUUGCUCAAGAUGCUAGUUCUCUUAGCAAAAUGUUGAAGAUGAAUAGAACGAAAAUUGCAAGGCAUGCAGUAAGAGAAUAAGUCAACUCCAUUCUUGCCCAAUUCCCCUGUCUUUGCCCAGGCAACAUCUCUAUGGCUAUUUGAUAAGUAUUUGGUCUCUCUCUCUCUCUCAUAUGCAUACAUACAUACAUACAUACAUACAUACAUACAUAUAUAUAUAUAUAUAUAUAACAGAUACAACUUGCUAAGAAGUAAUGCUCCGUAAAGUUUUGCCAACAAAUGAAGACAGAUCAUUUCCCUGAACCAAAAAGAAGAAGUUAAAAAAGAUCAAAAGCAAAAAUACAAGCAAAGACAUUGAAUGAUAUGGACCCAAAACAGCAAUAAUUUUUUUUAAGAAAAAAAGGAAAGAUAUGCAUCCAUUUGCACGGUUGACAUGUCUAUUAUAAAUGAAUACUGCAUGGUGCCUCCACUCUGUUGAUUCUUUUGGGUCAACUACACUGUUAACCACAGUGUUCCUUUCGGAUUUGAAGGGCUUCAGUUGACAAUGUGGAGCACAUGACAAAAUGGAUAAGAUAAAUUGUCCAGAAAGAAAUGGUAGGAUGGCUGGUGGACAAGUUAGAAAAUUGUAUCCAAAAUUAUAGCAAUUUGGACAGUAGUAUGAUAGUGGUAGUGGUUGGUAAUAGAAAAUUUUAAUACGGAAGUCUAAGAUUCAUAUUCAGCCCAAGACAUAAUUAACUUCUCCUUGUCUGUUAAGAAAUCACUUUUUAUGUCCUUUAGUUUAUUUAGUUAUUCGAUUUCCAUAUGAAUGUCCACUUUUCUCUCCUUGUGAGACGGAGAAGUGAUGGCUCAUGGAUCGUAGAAAGAGCCUAUAAUUCACUCACAAGUAAUCUUUACAUCAUAAUAAAACAUCCUGGAUUGCAUUUUUCUCAAUUUUUUUUAGAAAAAUUACUGUAGCGAUUUAAUAUAUGUGAGGUAAAAGGAUGAUUGAAAAAUGUGUUCACGGAAAACGUAGUAAUUUUUCUUUCCAACCAAGACAUAGCCACUACGUUUAGGCACGGAAAAAGAAAUGUUCGACAAUCUGUUGAAAGUUGGACAGCCUGUUUGGAUUGUUAUUUUUUAAAUUUUUGCAGAAAAAUAUAGUAUAACAAUUUAAUGUAUGUGACAUAAAAAAAAAUGAUUAAUUGUCUCAACAAACUUAAUAUCUCUCUUGUUCAAACACUAGUUUUUUAUGAGGAAAUAAGUCUGUCACGCUAAUUCUUGCUAUGGUUAGAGUAUUAUUCAAAUGAUACUGCUUUAUCCUGUUUCAAGCUCGAUUUUGUCAGAGUUCUUUUAAAUUACUGAGCGUGUAUAAGCAGGAAAGCAAAUAAGCUUGUUUCUCAACCUGAAAACAGCUGACUGGUGAAGCAAAACAAUGUACAAAACGUACAUAGAAAAUUUUUGCUUGUUCUCAUGAAACUCUAUAUUUUAUGUUUAAUCGUUUGUUGGUUCGUCAACCUUUAGCUGCUCUUUAAAACUUGUAUAGCCUAAGGAAGAUCCUUUUUUUUUUUUUGGGCUAACUCCACCUGCAUCAAAUUGUAUUUAGGGUUUAUUGCUUGGGUCUCCUUUAGUUACUUUUCUCCCACUCGACUCGACAUGGACAUCUAUCUAUAUAAUUCAUGCGGGAGACACAAAUAAAUGAAGAGUCUUGUAUCUUAAAUGAAGCGCAUGGGGACUGGAUCGACUCCACUGAUUAAUUUGGUUUGUCAACCGUAGUAGUGUCUUUUUUCGGGUUUGUGCGUUGUGGAGCUUUAGAUGCUAAUUUCCAGCCCUGAACGAAAGAAAUGCAACACAAUAUUGAAUGCGAGGAAACUGUACAGUAGCCAGUAGGUGGUCGACAGUUGAGCAAAUUGUAUAUUCGUGUCAUCAAUAAAAAGUUUUAGCUAUUAAGUAUUAACAAUAGCCAUGAUGAUGAUGAUGAUGAUUGAGAUUGAAGAUCUAAUAACCAAGUCCAAGGUUCAAAUUCAGUUUAGAACAUCCUGAGUGGACAAGAGGUUUCUAUAGAGAUUGAUUUACUACGGAAACUUGUUUACUGGAGUAGUAUUUUAUAAUCUAGCUAUUGGCUAAUUUAUCAGAGUAGGCAUUCCUCAUGUUUCCUAUGAAAAUACCAGGUGGUUUUUUUUUUUUAGGGUUGGCUCUAUUCCUUACAAAGAGAAAGGGAGAAAGGACGACUGCUUGAGAAUUGAACUACACUCAAUCAAUUAAGAUGUGGGUCUCGGAGACAUAAGUGCAGAUGUUGGGGAAAAGCGUGUAGAACUCAGAGUCAGCUUCUUGCAAAGACAAUAAUGAUUGGAUUAUGGUCUUGCUUUGAUCAGGUGAUGAGGCUGAACCACUUUCAGUUCUUCGACUUUCCUCAAUCAGAUCGUGCAUGAACUCAUCAAACUUCCUCUGGUAAUUCUCCAACAUCUUCCUAUACUUUUUCCCAAGACCAGACCGCCUCAUUAUUGGCACAUAUUCACAAGUGUCCGUGGGCAACUUCGCCGAAAACAUAUGAUCAGUCGACAUUGUUGGAAAUUGUAAUGAAGAUUAAUGUCCAGUAGAGGACCUCCAAAUCCAAAGGCAUGCUCCAGAAGCUAAGGCAAGUGAUGUAGCCAUGUAAGUUUCACUCUUCCACUCUUAUCUAUCUGAUAUAGGCAGUUAACAAUGGCCAAAGCGACAGCAACAUUAGCCUGAUAUAUAUAGAUGGCAAAAGAGGAUAGAUUCCAUAGAUAUCUGCCUACCUGCCACAGAAUUAGUAUGACCUUCCACCUGCGUUGGAUUUUGUACUUGUUAGCUGCACUAAGAUACUUGCAUUCCCCUAGAAACAAACACUAUAUAUAAGAUAUAAAGGGUGCAGUUGUUGUGAGCUAAUAUUAUUGUAUUUUAGAUUAGGUCACAAAGUCUCGUUAAAAAAUUGGUGAAAGUAACUUGCGAAUUAAGGGGUAUGUGUACAUUUAUUACUUUUGCACAUCGUACACAUUAUUCAAGCUGUUCAACGUGAAACACACAAAACUCUUGCUAGUCGUAAACACAAAUAAAGAUUUUAUACACAAAGGAUGGCUAAGUUCUAGUACAAGAAUUAGUCUUGCGAGCCACUUGCUGAUAACAACUUGAUAGCUUGUACUACCACAAUUCGUAGCUUCUUGCUAGCUUUCAAAGUUGAGAGAGAAGUUGGAUUGAUUCCUGGCGUGGAGCGCAUAGGGCCUCCAAAUGGUUAGACUUCUUCAUAGUGAUUCUGUUACUGAAGUCAAUGUCCAAUUCGCCAUCCUGUUCGACUUUAUCCCAAUCAAAGCACUGGAUGAAUGUACCAACUGCCAAUGAAACACUCCGAAUGCCUAGAUUGGCUCCGGGACAAGCUCUCCUCCCUAUCCCAAAUGGUAAAAACUUGGAAUUGAACUCUUCUUUAUCCAUUAAUCCCUUCCCUUCGAAUCUUUCUGGCAUGAAUUUCUCAGGCUCCUCCCAGAGUUUUGGAUCCCUAUGCACGGCCCAGGCAUUAGCUAAAACAAUCGUACCUUUUUUAAUAUCAUAACCCCCGACUCGGCAGUCUUCAGACGCCUGAUGAGGUAGCAGAAGUGGUGCCGCGGGGUACAGUCUCAAUGUCUCAUUGACAACACAACGAAGAUAGGGAAGCUUUGGAAUAUCAGAUUCAUCCACCAGCCUUCCAUGUCCUACGCUGUUGUCAAUCUCUGUCCUUAGUUUCUGUAGUGCCUUCGGGUGAUUCAGUAAAAGCAACAUAGCCCAUUCAGUGGUCAGUGUGGACGUUUCUCUGCCUGCUGUAAGCAUUAUCUGAAUCAAGGGUUGCUUUUGUUAGACAAAAUAAAUAUGGUUAAAUUAGGGUGGGAAAGAAUCCCAGAACGGUUGCUUUUAAAUGCUCUGUCCAACAGGAUCAUCCUUCUGAAAAAGCUUUACUAAGUACAAACAAGGGAAAGGAUGAUUGAAAAUGACAACCAAUGAACUCAAAUGCAACAAGGCUGAAGCUAUUAUCAUUUCAAAAGAUUGUUUUGGUGAAAUUAAUGGUGGUUGUUUUCAGGAAUUUUCCUAAUUAAAUCUUCUACUCAAAUCUUAUCCAUAGCAUGACAAAUAACAAAAGUAAGCAUGAAGUAUCAGAUUUUGACCUCGAUUACUACUCUUAUCUUAGUAUCAGAAUCCAAAGUUUAUUAAGCAGGACUUUUGUAAGAAGGCCGGUUGGAGGAAUACUAACCCCACAUAAGUCUAUUUUUUCUUCAUUAUCAGAAUCAAAAUAAGACAAGGAAAGGAAGGAAUUCACAAGCUCCAUAACUUCGCUGUCACCUAUAACGGAUUCUAGCUUCUCUUUAAGAAGAAUCGAUUGAUCAAGAGUUUUCUAUGAUCGGGUUAGAUCAAGUCUAUAUAAACCAUCAACCUAUACUCUUGAAAUGACAUCAGAAUAAAAUUCUUUUAACACUCGUUCUAAGUCCAAAAGAGUUCUUUAACAAGAUAUUCUUCUUAAGAAUUGCUUGAUUCAUCAUUCUACCAUGACAUGUUAUUACAAGCUUGUCUGAUUCUUUAGGGAUAACUCCAAUAUAAUUAUAAGGGAAAUUUUCACCACAGGUCCACAACACAAUAUAUGUUGAUAUAUGUCUUUAGGAUAGUUUUGAAUAGAUAAUAUAUUUACACGAAGAGGUGAUAAUAUCCGCCACUUUCUACUAGUUAGCUCCCACAGGCAAAGAAUCAAUUGCUAAAGGUUCAUAUAGAGCUGUUACUGUUGCCUCUCUGUAGCUUAAUGAAUUCAAUUGAAAACCAUAUUAGCUUUAUAUUGCUGAAGAUAGCAAUUGAGCAAGUGAAACAAGUUCUGCAAAAUAAUGAGUUCAUAACAAGUGUAAAUGCAAUAAAGCGGAAAAAAAUUAGUAUAUUCUGCCAGUUCAAAUUUCACUGCCUUGGCAAAGUAGUGAAGUGGGAUAAGCUCAUGCAGUAAGAAAAACAGAGAGAAAUUCCAUAUUGCACUAACCAAUGCAAUACUCUUGAUGAUGUCAUCUGAUAGAAAAUCUGAUUCUUUUUCCUUGCGGGAAAGCAGAUUUGCAAUCACUGCCUUCUCCUCUUUGUCCAGCAGAGUAUCUGAGCAUUGAAAUUCGUCUAUGAAACCCUGCAAGAAUUUAUCUCUCUUCUUGUGCAAAGAGAUCAUUUCCUUUUCCAGUCCCUUGUAGCCAAUCCAUCUUAAUAUAGGGACGAAGUCACACAAAUUCAGCGCAAUGCCUGCGCCUGAAGCAAACAUUUCCCCGAAUUCUUUAAUUAUUUGCAUCCCCAACUCCUCCCCAGCAUCCUCUUCUCUGAUACAGCGUCUUCCAACAAGCAUCCUCAUGAUAACAUUGAGUGUAAAAACAGAAAUCCAACGGUUCAAUUCAACUCUUACUUGGCUUCCAUUCUUUGAAACUCUGUAUAUUGACCUGAGAAUCAUCUUAAUUUCUUCUUCCCUGAUAACUGAAGUCCUCUGGAGGCUGUUGAAGGAGAAAGAUUCUACGACAAAGAGGCGACGAAGAUCCCUCCACAUGUGGCCAUAUGGGACUACCCCAACGGCUGUAUAGUUAUAGGAAAGCCUGUCCCCACCCAUGCUCCGAGGACGGUUUGCAAGUAUGAUAUCAUUCCGGGUGAAGCACUCUUCAAUGGCGGAUGGAGAUGACACAACAACAAAGGAACAGCAGCCGAAUUGGAGAAAGAAAAUGGGACCAUAUCUUGAUGAUAAUGAAGUCAAGUCUUCGUAGAGUGAGUUCUUGAUAAGGUAAAGAUGGCCAAUUAUUGGCAAAGCAAGUGGACUUGGUGGUAACUUCUUGUUCUUGACAUGGUUGAAUAGCAAGUUUUUGAAGAUGAGAAGUAAAGGUAAAGAACACAAUAAGAUGGUGACGAGGUAGUAGCAGAGAUUCUCCAUGGCCUAAAGCUGAAAAUCACACGAGACUUCUUAGUUAACUUCUGCUAUUUUUGUCCCCUCUUGCAUUGAUAAUGUGCAAUUAUUCGUGUGCUAAAAAGUCAAACUGGUAACGCCAAAGUCAUUGGUUAUUGGAUAAUGCGUAAUAAUUCUUCACGCAAUUGUGAGAGGAACUUUGUCGUUUGAUGUCUAUGAGCUCACCAAUUGGCAAGAAUUAUACAUUGAAAUAUAUAUCCAAUAAAGAUAGAGGAGUGGCGUUGGUGUAAAUUUUUUUUUUUUUGCUAAUUUUUAUAUAUGUGACGUGCAUCUAAACCCACUAAUAUAGGCACUGUUAGGAGAUGAAAGAUUUAUCCAAACAACUGAAAGAAAACAAGAGAAUAGAUGUGGUUGUUGGCAUCAUCUAACUUGAAAAAAUUAAGGAACGUUCCAAUAGUUACAGCAAUGAUCUUGUUUGGCUUGUGAAGCAGAUAGAUACUGGAAGUCUUACCAGUACGAUUCCUUAGACAAUAUCCAGGGUGUAGAACUCAGGGUCAGAUUCUUGCAAAGACAAUAAUGAUUGGAUUAUGGUCUUGCUCUGAUCAGGUGAUGAGGCUGAACCACUUCAGUUCUUCAACUUUCCUCACUCAGAUCGUGCAUGAAAUCAUCAAACUUCCCCUGGUAAUUCUUCAACAUCUUCCUAUACGUUUUCCCAAGACCAAGCCACCUCAUUAUUGGCACAUAUUGACAAAUGUCCGCGGGCAACUUUGCCGAGAACAUAUCAAUCGACAUUAUUGGAAAUAGUAAUCAAGAUUAAUGUCCAGUAGAGGACCUCUGAAUCCAAAGCCAUGCUGGAGAAGCAAAGGCAAGUGAUGUAGCCAUGUAAGUUUCACACUUUCACUCUUAUCGAUCUGAUAUAGGCAGUAAUCAAAUCAAUGGCCAAAGCGACAGCAACAGUAGCCUGAUAUGUAUAGAUGGCAAAAGAGGAGAUUCCAUAGAUAUCUUCCCGCCUGCCACAGAAUUAGUAUGACCUUCCACCAACGUUGGAUUUUGUCACUAAGAUACUUGCAUUCCCCCAGAAACAAACACUAUAAGACAAUAGGUACAGUUGUUAAAAGUUAGCAUUGUUUUUUAGAUUUGGUCACAAAUUCUCGCACAAAACUUGGCCAAAGUGACUUGUGAUUUGAGAGAUGUGUACAUUUAUUCCUUUUGCACAUUAUGCGCAUUAAUCAAGUUGUUUAAUGUGAACACACAGAUCGAAUAUUAGUUGUAAACAGAAAUAAAGAUUUUAUACACGAAGGAUGGCUAAGUUCUAGUACAAUAAUUAAGAAUAGUCUUGCCUGCCACUUCAUGAUAACAACUUGCACUACCACAAUUCAUAGCUUCUUGCUAGCUUUCAAAGUUGAGAGAGAAGUUGGAUUGAUUCCCGGCGUGGAACGCAUAGGGCCUCCAAAUGGUUAACCUUCUUCAUAGUGAUUCUGUCAUUGAAGUCAGUGUCCAAUUCGCCAUCCUGUUCGACUUUAUUAUUAACAUAACACUCUAAGAGCCAAAGGCGUUACUGUUCAUUUGCUUUUUCGUCGUCGGUAUCACGUGCCAAAAGCGUGUCUUAUUGUUAACAUAACGUAUUUUUUAUUAUUACAAGGCCACCCGGCCUACUUCGUUAGCUGGUUUAUUUUUUAUCUCCUUUAUUUGUCCUCUUUUUCCUCUUUUGUGUAUCGUCUUCGCAUCUCAAUGGCCUGGGAAAAACUUUUCCUGAUUCAUUUCCUUAAUGGAGUUUCGUCUCUUCCGGUCAUUUUCCCUAUGCUUUACCAUUUUUUCGUUUUGCCCCUUUGACUCCAUCUCCUUUCAAUUGAACUCUCUUUUGUCCGCUGGAUUUCUUCUCGCUGCUGUGUUGCCUUCUCUUGGCUGAUUUCACGUAUCUUCUUCCGGUGACUUGUGUUUUGAGCUGGCCUCGCGAAAAGAUUUCCUCGGGAGAACUUUUCCAGACUGCUUUCCUUAACGGAGUUUCAUCUUGGUCGAUUUCGCCGGUCUUCAGGUGACUUCUUAUGAUUAUUUUUACGCAUUUUCUGGUCAUUUUUCCUAUGCUUUACCAAUUUUCGUUUUGCACGUUUCAUUGCGUCUUCUUUCGAUUGCGGUUUUGGGUCAGCCAUUGCCUCUCUUUUGCCCGCUGGAUUUCUCACUACUGGGUUGCCUUCUCUUGGUCGAUUUCACCAAUCUUCAGGCGACUUAUGUUUUGAGCUGGCCUCAGGAAAACUUUUCCAAAAUCCUUUCCCCAGCGGAGUUUCGUCUUGGUCGAUUUUGCCGGUCUUCAGGUGAUUUUGACCCUUUUUUAAUUUCGUUUCUUCUUCUCACUUUCGGCUGUCAAGAUAGAGAUACUGAUUUUAUUGCAUUCUACUUUUAUGUUUUAUUACUGAAUCUGGAUUUUUGGUUGUUCCCUUCUUUUUCCCUUUUGAAUCUUUGAUUUUUUUGCUUCCCCAAUCUGUGUUCUUCACUGUUCCCCCUUUUUUUUUUGGCCCUUGUUUAUUUAUUUCAUUUCCUCUUUUUUCCUGUGCUUUUCCUUGUUCCUUUCUUAUUUUUGUUUAUUUAUUUCGUUUCCUCUUUUCAGCUGUGAAGAUGGAGAUACUAAUUUUAUUGCCUUCCACUUUUACGCUUUAUUGCUGGAUCUGUGUUUUUUCCUUGUUCCCUUUUCUUGGUUCUUGCUUGUAAAUAUCGUUUUUCGUUUGCUCUCUUAUGGCUUUGGUCCUUAUGAUUUUGUUAAAGCUAAUAAAGUAACGAAAUUUUUUAAAUUAAUUCAACCAUCACCUCUAAUAAAGUUAUGGUUGUUAAAGCUAAUAAAGUAACGAAAUUUUUUAAAUUAAUUCAACCAUCACCUCUAAUAAAGUUAUGGUCUUAAAAUUAGCUCACGUGGUUCUAUAGCACUGGUCUUGUAAGAGAUGCAUUUGCCACGUGAUAACCACGACGAAAAACAAAUGAACAGUAACGAAAAACCCAUUAAAGACGGUCUUAGAUUAUGGUCUUAAAUUUUAUAGCACUGGUUUUUCAUGGCUCUAUUUGAAAGCCACUUAAAACCCAUUAAAGAUGCCUGCUUUGCAGACGUUGUUCAUGGGAUUAGUAUAUAUUUGAAGUAUUUAUCAAGAUGUGAAAGAAUUCAUUUCUCUUUUGUAUGAGGUGUGCUUGAUUUUUUAUAACUCCGUAUGUUUAUUGCUGCCUAUUCACUGAAAAAGGAAAUAUAUGGUACCUUAGUCGUUCUAAGUAUGUCUUCAACUAUGGUGAAUUAAAUGCUGUAGGUUUUCUCCUGUGACUUUUCCUUUCCUUUGCUUUUUCUUUGUUAUUUGUUCUCUUACAUACUGUACUUUGUUGAUGUUGUUCUUGGCGUUUUUAUGAUUUAGGUUAUUUUACUGAAUUUUCAUCCUAGCCUUGUGCAUUCGUCUUUGGAAUCUACGGCAAAGGUUCGUUUUGUGUUUUUUCCCUUCUUUUGGAAUCACCUUUGGAGGUUUUUCAUGUUCCUUGUUGAUUUGCUUAAUAUAGAGUUUUUCAGUUUAGGAUUUGUUUAGUUGAUUUGCAAUUUUAAGCUUUUAUAUUGUACUAAAGUGUUUUGGUUUGGGCUGUCUUUUCUGCCUUUCUUAGCAACGGUCUGUUUAUGACCUUUUUUUUUUCUCCAAAGGUCACCUUGUUUGUUGGUUCCUGGCAGUUUAACCUGUGUUUUUUGGUUUGGUAGGAGUUGAGUUUGGGAUGAUAAAAAAAAGUUAGGAGUUUAUCAUCCCACUACAUACGUUUAUCAUGAAAAUGAGAUAAUGUUUGGUAGUCAUCAUCAUCUAGCAUUGGGACUACCAAACAGAUUUCGAGGAUUUAUCAUGAACGAAGAGGCUUUUCUUUGAUUUUCCCAGAUUUAUAACAUGUUUUUGGGACUUUGGUUUUGGGCUUUUCUUUGUUUUUUCCGAAUUUAUUCUCCUUCGCUAUCCUUCAUACUCCGUUCAAAUCAGAUUAUUUUUUUAUAUUGUUGUUCCUUAUUUUUCUUACCCUUUUCAAAUCGAGUGACUUUUUUUGAUGUGGUUGUUCUUCAUCUUUUAAAAAAUAUAUAUCUACAAGAUCUUCCUUUGUCCCCUUUAUUUAUUUUCCUAUGUGCGUAUCUUUUUUUUUCCUUUUUAAAAUGCAUAGAAGCCCUUUGAAUGGGACCUGCGAAAGUAUUGAUGCAUUUCUAAAGGACAUUUGAAAGAUUUAUUUCUAUGCAGUAAUCUGAACAAUAUGAGGUGAACAGAAAAUUUCCAAUAUGAAGUGCUUAUUUUUUCCUGUACUUCAUCUUUUUUUUAUUUUUUUGUUGGCCAAUGCCAUUUUUGGGUUUGCUGGAAGUCUUUGAAUAUGAUGGCAAGGCUUCUCUGGAUGUACUCUGUUUCUGUAACCUCUCUCUCAGGUAAUUUCCUCACCAAACUAGAGAUACAAGGAAGGUCACCUAAAAUUGGGAAGAUUUUGUUCUUAUUUUCUUUGUAUUUUUGGAGAACAAUUUGGUUAGGAUUAAUGAUAGGUAAUGGCCCGUUGUAGAAAUUUGAAGCAUUUUUUUAAAAAAAUUUCAGCUUUUUGUCAAAUAUGUUUUUCAGAGCUUUGUUGAGUUUCAACGUUUUUGCGCUACCUAUGUCUUGUUUGUACUAUUUUUUUGAAGUUGUAGGUGUAAUAUAGUGUUUAUACUUGUUACUAGCAGUUGGAAGCUGCAAAUAAAUGAUUAUUAGUUGGAAGCUGCAAAUAAAUGAUUAUACUAUAAUUUCCUACCAAUUACGAAAGUCAAAUGCUUUACUUUGCUAGCUUGCAGAAGUUGAUCCUUUUGCUUAAAAUUAUUAAACUUGCAUACUGUAUAAAGAAAAAGCCUUUUGUUUGAUACGUUUUCUGACAUCGUUUUUCAAUUAGUACUGCUUUUCUUUUUUUUAUUUUGUUUCUCACUUUCUUCAUGAGUCAUGACAUGAAUUUGUUGUUUGUUGAUUCAGACUUAUAUAGGAAAGGCUUGUCAGGGGCAUCCACUCAGCUCUCCUACUUUUCCUCCAAAAGGUGCCCGAAGUUUAUUUUCCUGCUGAUACCUUCUUAUCUUGGUGAUCAUUUUGAUGGGUUUAAAAAAUAGAUAAAGUAAAAUAACUUUUGCAUAUGAAGUCUAUCUUUUUAGGCUUUAGCUCCUUGCCAGGAUCAGUUAAAACUAAUACAUAUAUUUGUUUAGUGUUUGAAUACUUCAAACAUCAUGUUUAUUUAAUGUGACAGUUGCAUGUUUUUCCCCAUAUUUUGGGGUUUUCUGUUCACUAAAAAAUUAUAAAGCACCCAAGUGUGCAAGUUUAUUGCCAUAUUUUGGCCUUGUACCUCCCUCCUGGAGUAUUUUAACAUUACGUGCAUUGUCCUUAAUGUAACAAUCACUUGACCCUUUUUCCCCCAUGUGAUUCUUUGAAUUAGAUGAGUUCUUUUAGGUAUAGCUCUUUUACUGAAAUUUUUUGAGUUUGAUAGUUUUUACAUUUGCCUAGGAUUGUGUUAUUCCUGCUUGAGAGUACCUACUUUUUGCUCUUUCUGCAGUAGAAAAUAUCAGUUUUUUUGCUUCAUUAGUUCAUUAUGAACACAAGUCAUUUUUUGUAUGGAAGGAAGAAGAAAAUCCAAGUCAGAUGUCAGAGAAAGAUUUGGCUCUCAUGCAGGCAAUGUAUUAGAUCACUGCAUCUUUUGGAAAAGGUUCUAUCAUGUGGAUUGGCUGCUUUGCCCCUGUUAAACAAGUUUCAGUUGUGUCUACAGGUUCAUUUGCACUUGGGAUUGGAGGAUUUCCAAAGGUUGGCCAUCUUAUGUGUUUCUUAUGCUGCAAUGCCAGAUGUUGAUUUUGAAUUAUUGUUUCAAGUGCACUAAACAUCUGCAAAUAUCUAAAGAAUCAUAUUGACAUCGUUUUAGAGUGCAAAUAUACCACUGAAAGGACUUUUCUCUAUCUAAUUGGGAUUUCAACUAAGAGCUGCUGUAAUUAUUCUUGAUUUGAAUAUUUCCAUUCUGAUUAAUCAGCAUUUGCAAUUUCCAGAUUGUAUAGCAAAAGAAAAGCUUUGCCUUGUUCUUGAAAACCUUCACUAAAAUGGAAGCUUUUAAAUUACUUUGUAUCGCUAUUGGUUUCUGUUAACCUUAUUACUUUGUAUCACUAUUGGAUCUGUUUGAUGUAAUUGGAGUAGUGCCUUUUGGCAUCAGGCAAUAUUAGUAGUUCCAUGUCCAUGGGAGAUGUUACCAUCCCCAAGCAAUUCACUCAGACUGGCUUAUGGGAUUGGCUCAUAACUUCCACUUCGUGCUUUUAACAUGAAUACAUGAAACUUUGUUAUACACCUAUUUUCGACUGAUUUACAUGAAUCUUUUUUCUGAGCAGAAACUUAAUGCGACAAUCCCGACAGGUGAUUUUACUAAAUUGGAUUUUGAAGCCUACAAUGGGCCUUCCAGAGGAUAUAGCGUUCUUUUCAAAGUAAAGAAAGCCUAAUACUGCUUAAAGAAAGCUUUGGUUUCACGUAAGCAAGAAUUAGUGUACACUCAUCUUGAGGUAUAGGACUCGAUACAGUUCCUUCUCUUCUGUAUUUUUCCUUUUCUUUCUCAAUUGAAGAUUAGUAAGUAUAGGACUUGUUUAUGAUUAGUUGCAUUUGUUCUGUGUUUCCGAAGCCUGAAAAACCUUAGCAAUUACUAAGUGUCAAAUAUUAAGUUUCGAUUAUUAUAGCAUAGAAAAUUUCCCUAUAGAGGCUUCUAUACAAACCUUGGUUUUGCCUUUAUAGGUACACAAAUAUUCCUUCAUGAUUUUAUAGUUUCUUAAUACUUCUUAUCUUAUGCUAAAGGAAGAAUUGAGCUAUUAAACCUUAAACUUUUCAGUGAAAAUAUUUUAAAUUUUAGAUCUAGAAAACACAUUCUUAGAUGAGAAUAUCUCAAGCUACUCUGGGGAUAAAAGCAACUAUGCAAUCUGGCUUACAUGUCAAUGCCUCUGACUUUUGGAAUGGAGUAUUGUUUUAACAUAAUAAAAGAUGCCCUCCCUAUGAUGAAUAAGUUUCCACUUUGUUUGUGCAUUUUAGGAUCAUUCCAUUGACCUUGUGUUCAGCCCCUUCCCUGCUCCCCCUCCAAAAAAAAUUAUAAGACAAUUGAAUGAGUUUAAUGUUGGGAUAUUUUGGAGUUAGAACUUGUUGAAUUUAUCGUUCGGAUUAGGAUCAUUUGCUGCCAGUUAACCUAUUUCCAAUUUCUUCCUUUGGGUGAUAUCCGUGGAUGGCCAUACUGCAAUAGAUUGCAUUCUGAAUUCUUUUAAUUUCAAUUUUUUGGAAAUAGCAAAGUAGCCAAUUUAUCUGCUUUGGUGGAAUUAUGAGUUACCAUGCAAGUUGCUCUAACUUUACAACUUACAGAUGCUUAGAUCUCUUUUCUUUGAUACUUAAUAAUAGACAAAAUAUAUGUCAUGCUCCUCUUAAGAGGGGAAAAGGUGGGUUAAGAUUUUGUAUGAAUAUUACAAGUUUUAAAGUUGUCGAGUUUAUCUUGUUUGUUUUGGGAUCAAUCAAUGUCUCCUGACCCCUUUCCUGUUUCUAUGUAUUGGUGCCGAGGUCUAUUGCUAACUGCAAUGGAAUAUGUACUAAGAUUUUAUUGUUAUAAUUUCAUGAUUAGGUUGUCGCGGGAGAACUUAGCAAAUCUUGCCAUGGGUGGCAGCAGAAACAAAAUUACUUUUGGACAGGGGAAAGAUGCAUUGUGCGUUUCAAGCUCCAUGCAUUGUACAAAUCAUUUUAUUAAACUGAGCAUCUCCAUUUUUUUUCCCUUCCACACUAAUGCGCGGUUUAUGCAUUAAACUAGGGAACUAGGGUAAGUAGGGUCAUGGGAUAGAAAAGAAAUCAUGUAUCCGUGAAUCAUACAUUUCACAUCUAAUAUAUUAGUAGUUCUGCAAAUUUCAAAUUCUCUUGUUAUAUCUGUAACACAUUUCCUUUUCUAAAACAAGAGAGAUAACUCGGUUACCGAAUUAUCUUGUUACAUUUGUCCCACAGUUUUGUGUUGUUAAUCAGUACGUACAACUUCAAUAUUAAUUUCUAUCUAUAAUUACUGAUCAGCAAUCCGAACUACUAUUUACAAAAUUUUAAUGCUUCUAUGGGCAUUCAUGUUUUGUACUCCGCGGUUUAUCUCUCCUAGUCCCAAUCAAAGCACUGGAUGAAUGUACCAACUGCCAAUGAAACACUCCGAAUGCCUAGAUUGGCUCCGGGACAAGCUCUCCUCCCUAUCCCAAAUGGUAAAAACUUGGAAUUGAACUCUUCUUUAUCCAUUAAUCCCUUCCCUUCGAAUCUUUCUGGCAUGAAUUUCUCAGGCUCCUCCCAGAGUUUUGGAUCCCUAUGCACGGCCCAGGCAUUAGCUAAAACAAUCGUACCUUUUGGAAUAUCAUACCCCCCGACUCGGCAGUCUUCAGAUGCCUGAUGAGGUAGCAGAAGUGGUGCCGCGGGGUACAGUCUCAAUGUCUCAUUGACAACACAACGAAGAUAGGGAAGCUUUGGAAUAUCAGAUUCAUCCACCAGCCUUCCAUGUCCUACGCUGUUGUCAAUCUCAGUCCUUAGUUUCUGUAGUGCCUUCGGGUGAUUCAGUAAAAGCAACAUAGCCCAUUCAGUGGUCAGUGUGGAUGUUUCUCUUCCUGCUGUAAAUAUUAUCUGAAUCAAGGGUUGCUUUUGUUAGACAAAAUAAACAUGGUUAAAAUUAGGGUGGGAAAGAAUCCCAGAACGGUUGCUUUUAAAUGCUCUGUCCAACAGGAUCAUCCUUCUGAAAAAGCUUUACUAAGUACAAACAAGGGAAAGGAUGAUGAAAAAUGACAACCAAUGAGCUCAAAUGCAACAAGGCUGAAGCUAUUAUCAUUUCAAAAGAUUGUUUUGAUGAAAUUAAUGGUGCUUGUUUUCAGGAAUUUUCCUAAUUAAAUCUUCUACUCAAAUCUUAUCCACUAGCAUGACAAAUAAUAAGCAUGAAGUAUCAGAUUUUGACCUCGAUUACUACUCUUAUCUUAGUAUCAGAAUCCAAAGUUUAUUAAGCAGGACUUUUGUAGGAAGGCCGGUUGGAGGAAUGCUAACCCCACAUAAGUCUAUUUUGUCUUCAUUAUCAGAAUCAAAAUAAGACAAGGAAAGGAAAGAAUUCACAAGCUCCAUAACUUUGCUGUCACCUAUAAUGGAUUCUAGCUUCUCUUUAAGAAGAAUCGAUUGAUCAAGAGUUUUCUAUGAUCGGGUUAGAUCAAGUCUAUAUAAACCAUCAACCUAUACUCUUGAAAUGACAUCAGAAUAAAAUUCUUUUAACACUCGUUCUAAGUACAAAAGAGUUCUUUAACAAGAUAUUCUUCUUAAGAAUUGCUUGAUUCAUCAUUCUACCAUGACAUGUUAUUACAAGUUUGUCUGAUUCUUUAGGGAUAACUCCAAUAUAAUUAUAAGGGAAAUUUUCACCACAGGUCCACAACACAAUAUAUGUUGAUAUAUGUCUUUAGGAUAGUUUUGAAUGGGUAAUAUAUUUACACGAAGAGGUGAUAAUUGAUAUCCGCCACUUUCUACUAGUUAGCUCCCACAGGCAAAAGAAUCAAUUGCUAAAGGUUCAUAUAGAGCUGUUACUGUUGCCUCGCUGUAGCUUAAUGAAUUCAAUUGAAAACCAUCAUAUUAGCUUUAUAUUGCUGAAGAAAGCAAUUGAGCAAGUGAAACAAGUUCCGCAAAAUAAUGAGUUCAUAACAAGUGUAAAUGCAGAUAAAGCGGAAAAAAAUAAGUAUAUUCUGCCAGUUCAAAUUUCACUGCCUUGGCAAAGUACUGAAGUGGGAUAAGUUCAUGGAGUAAGAAAAACAGAGAGAAAUUGCAUAUUGCACUAACCAAUGCAAUACUCUUUAUGAUGUCAUCUGAUAGAAAAUCUGAUUCUUUUUCCUUGCGGGAAAGCAGAUUUGCAAUCACUGCCUUCUCCCCCUUGUCCAGCAGAGUAUCUGAACAUUGAAAUUCGUCUAUGAAACCCUGCAAGAAUUUAUCUCUCUUCUUGUGCAAAGAGAUCAUUUCCUUUUCCAGUCCCUUGUAGCCAAUCCAUCUUAAUAUAGGGACGAAGUCACACAAAUUCAGCGCAAUGCCUCCGCCUGAAGCAAAAUUUUCCCUGAAUUCUUUAAUUAUUUGCAUCCCCAACUCCUCUCCAGCAUCCUCUUCUCUGAUACAGCGUCUUCCAACAAGCAUCCUCAUGAUAACAUUGAGCGUAAAAACAGAAAUCCAACGGUUCAAAUCAACUCUUAUUAGGCUUCCAUGCUUUGAAACUCUGUAUAUUGACCUGAGAAUCAGCUUAAUUUCUUCUUCCCUGAUAACUGAAGUCCUCUGGAGGCUGUUGAAGGAGAAAGAUUCAACGACAAGGAGGCGACGAAGAUCCCUCCACAUGUGGCCAUAUGGGACUACCCCAACGGCUCUAUAGUUAUAGGAAAGCCUGUCCCCACCCAUGCUCCGAGGACGGUUUGCAAGUAUGAUAUCAUUCCUGGUGAAGCACUCUUCAAUGGCGGAUGGAGAUGACACAACAACAAAGGAACGGCAGCCGAAUUGGAGAAAGAAAAUCGGACCAUAUCUUGAUGAUAAUGAAGUCAAGUCUUCGUAGAGUGAGUUCUUGAUAAGGUAAAGAUGGCCAAUUAUUGGCAAAGCAAGUGGACUUGGUGGUAACUUCUUGUUCUUGACAUGGUUGAAUAGCAAGUUUUUGGAGAUGAGAAGUAAAGGUAAAGAACACAAUGAGAUGGUGACGAGGUAGUAGCAGAGAUUUUCCAUGGCCUAAAGCUGAAAGUCACACGAGACUUCUUAGUUAACUUCUGCUAUAUUUGUCCCCUCUUGCAUUGAUAAUGUGCAAUUAUUCAUGUGCUGAAAAGUCAAACUGAUAAUGCCAAAGUCAUUGUUUAUUGGAUAAUGCGUAAUAAUUCGUGAAACGUGAAAUUCAUGACGAAAUUGUGGGAGGAACUUUGUCGUCUAUGAGCUCACUAAUUGAGAUGAACUAGGAGGUAUAACUGCCGAGUUGCGCGGUGGAAUAGCCAGCAUGUAUGCCUAUUUAGGCAUGAUUAAGUAGGCAUUACAUGGAUAGUCAUAAUGUCAUUGGAAUAAAUAUCUUGGGUUACUUGCAUGUGUUUUAUUUAUUGAGAUUUAUAUACCUUGUAAUUUAAUCAUUAAGAUAUUUAAGAAUAUUUAGAAGAAAAUUUAAAAAUAGCUUUCAAUCCAAAAGCACAAUUGUAAGACAGCUUAUUAGAUAGACAAUAUAGAUUAGGAGGAUGAGGUAAGCAAGUAACUGAACUAAAAAUUAAUAUCAAAAGAAAAAACAAUACAAAAGGUAAUACAAAAAUGUAGCUGAACAAUAUAAAAUCCAAGUUCAUGAUAGAGCGAAUAAGGAAGAAAAAUGUGAAACUCAACAAAAGGUUAAAUCAAAUGAAGCUAUUUAGAAAUAUGAAACCAGUGAUCGGUACAUUGCUUCGGCCAACAACAAUUGCAUCAAUAAUUUAGACUUUUAGUAACAUAAUACUUGAAUUCUUAAUGUGUGAUGCCAGGGUACAUAAUCUCUAUUCCAUUGGCUCCAAAGAUCAGAAUAGCUAAUGAUUUUCUUGCUUCUUACAGAUCACUUGAUUAAGCAUAUAGGAUCAUAGAAAUCAAUUUAUAUGCAUUAAUUAAUAAGCAGAAAAAUAUUACUCAAGUCUGAAAGUUAGGUGCUCUGGUAGAUAAAAGGAGAAGGUAAUAAGGAAAUAUACCAAAUAACAAUAAAUAUCCAGAAGCCACAUGGUCCAAAACCUGUUGGUGCUAUCAAUGCAGAAUAUCUCAACUAUGUUAACAGAAGCAUGUGUUUGAAGCAAAAACAUCAAAAUGCAACUCUAGGCAUACACAUAAGCCAAUGAAUGCAUAAGUUGUACAUCUGUCUGAAUUUGUCUAAUCUUGACAUAAUCCAAAAUAUUUCCUACUACAUCAAUGUAGCUUCAAGGAGUACCAUGGAUAAAGAAAGAUCAGACAAGUCUUUUUUUUUUUUUUUUUUUUUGGCAUUGCCAGAUUUAUCAACUUCUAUAGAUUCCCUUCCUAUCUCUGUAGCAUCUCUAAACCUUGCUGUGAGGCGAACUUGUAAUCGUGAAGAAGAUCGUUCUCCCUCUGAAAUAAAAAAGCGUGCCAUGUUAAUAAAUUGGAUAAGUAAAGAUUCAAGGGGGACGGAAAAAUUAAUGUAAAAAAUGACCUGAUGCAUGAGUUUGAGCUAGUGUUACAAACGAACCGAACUGCUCGUGAGCGGCUCGAGUCAAGCUCGAUUAGAGCUCGAUUAAUAUUGAGUUCGAGCUGGCUCGAGUCGAAAUCGAGCUCGAACUCGAAUUCAAAAUAUUAAACUCGCGCGAGCUCGAGUAUAUAUAUAAUUUUUUUUUAUUUUAAGUGUAUAUAUAUUUUUUUAUUUUUUAUUUUAAGUAUAUAUAUUUUUUAUUUUUUUAAUUUUAAUAGUAAAAUUACAUAUAUAUAUCCUUAAUAUUUUAUUAUUUACUAAAAAAUAUUAUUUUAUUUAUUUUUUAAAAAAUAAAAUAAUUAUUUUUUUUCGAGCUCGAGCUCGAGGUUGAAAUUGUCAGCUCGUCGAGCUCGAAUUUGAGUUCGAGUUCAAUGAAAUUAUGUCGAGACUCGGCUCGAUUAGGCCAAAACUCAACUCGGCUCGACUCUACUCGGCUCGUUUUCAGCCCUUUGAGCAUUCUAUUCUUCAGCCUGGACAAGUUCAUUGUUGGCACUGAUGUGGAAAUCUUUGUUGCCAGAAGACGUUGCCGUGCUUUCUCCAAAGUAAUAAGCAACCGUGUAAUGGUUAUAUCCAUUACCAUCUCUGAUAUUUCCUGAUUUCAGUUGUACAAUGAACUUUUCAAGCUCUUUAUGCACCUUUUCAAGCGGCAAUUGUUCAUUCUAUAAGUAAAACCAUAAACUUGAAUUAGUACGCAUAGUCUAUAUAUGAUUCCGACAAACUUGUUCACACAGAUAGAGACACAUGGCAAUGGUGACUUAUCAAUUUUCCUAGAGGGCAUGUAAAAAGGUUACACAAAACACCAGCCAAGGAAAUCUCUUGUAAUCAGCAGGAAAAAAAAUCAAAUAAAAAGACUCAAUCUUUCAAGGUAAAAACCAUAACGAGAAGGAAAGGCAAAGCAUAUACAUUUUUUGACUAUACAAAACUCCAUCGUCUGACAAGCUGAAAUGCAAACUCAAUGACAGGCACACAAGUACCAAAAAGAAACCAAAAGAAAUAGCCAAGGAAAAAUUGUAAGAGAAGCUGCAAUUCUUACAAAAGCUCAACCAAGCUCAAGAUCCAAGCAAUUAAAAAUUUUUCUGCCUAGGAAAAAAUCUAAAAGCUUAACACAUCAACAGACGCAUAACAGGAGAGACCGACAACAGCACCGAGCAAAGACACAGUCGCAACCUAUAUCUAGCAAUAGUUUCAUAAGCACACCGGUACCAGAAACAAUUCUUAGGAAGACUCAACCAUUUCAAGAAAAAUAAAAGCAAAGACCCAGAACAACACCAAGCAAAGAAAAAGCCACAAACCAGUAAGAUUAAUCAAAGCCAAUGCAUAAAGGAAUCGUAAUCAGAGCUCGCAAGUAUAGGAUCCCUAAAAGGGCCGAGUACUCAGUGAAACAGGAGGAAAGAAACGAAGAAGUUUAAGCCAAGGUUGUAAGCAACUCGGAUAGAGAAGAUAGUGAGAGGGAGAAGCUCGAAAAGGGGAAAAAUUGACGCAUAAUUGAGAUGCCAUCUCCAAAAAUUUACACCCCAUUGAUAGAGGUGAACACUGCAAAUUGCACCAAUCAUCAUUUAGGAAGAUGCUUCUAAUAGAUUCAGGCGUAGCAGCAGAAAGAGCUGAAAGAGGAAAGGAAAUCACAGGCGCAUAUCUCGUCCCCCUGAAGACGGGCCAGUCAGACAAUCUGUUUACCCGUAUAAAGUAAUAAUGAUGGACCACCCACAUGAUCCGCCUGCUUUAAAGAGACAAGUGCAAGUCACGUGACGACGACGAAAAGUUUGAAACCUCUUGGUGCAUUGUAUGUUAUGUUGACAAUUGGCAAGAAUUAUACAUUGAAAUAUAAAUAUAAUAAAGCUAGAGGAGUGGCGUUGGUGUAAAUUUUUUUUUUUUUUCCUUGCUAAUUUUGAACUUUCUUUUAUAUCCUUAUAAAAUCUAAUUUUUACCUUAAUUACCUAAUCAUAUUUUACCUACAUAAUUACUCAUAAUGGCCUUAAGUAUUUUAAGUACCACAUUACUAUAGACUUAUAAAUCAGAGUUCUUUAAUUUAUAUAAAUUGUAUGUAUGUGAAAAAUAAAAUUCAUAUAAUAUUAAUUUAUGUUAAUUAUUUUUAAAUUACACAUAGAUUAAGUAUGCCUUUAACGCUUGUCUCCAAUAACUGGGACAUCAAUCAAUAGCAGAAUAAAGGAGUUUUCCGCUAUUGAUUUACCAAAAGAGACAUUGCCCGUUCCAUGGUUUCUUCUGAAGUACUUGUUCCGGCCGUGACCAAUGCCUAAACAAAAUUUAUAAAGAAGAAACACUUGGUCGAAGGAAUGAGGAUAAAUGUUAGAAUCUCUGAUCUAAUGAACCGUUAGGCUUCUUUGGAAUUUAGUCUAAUUGAAGAUUGUUUUUUUUUUUUUCAAUUUAGUUUGCUGGAAUAAUUGAAUGACUUUAACCCUAUAAUAAUGAUUCCAAAAUGAUGGGGAUUAAUAUUUUUAAUUUGAAUUUGAACAUUAAAUUUUGGAUAUGUGACGUGCAUUUAAACCCACUAAUAUAGGCACUGUUAGGAGAUAAAAGAUUUAUCCAAACAAUUGAAAGAAAACAAGAGAAUAGAUGUGGUUGUUGGCAUCAUCUAACUUGAAAAAAUUAAGGAACGUUCCAAUAGUUACAGCGAUGAUCUUCUUGUUUCGCUUGUGAAGCAGAUAGAUACUAGAAGUCUUACCAGUACGAUUCCUUUGACAAUAUCCAGGGUGUAGAACUCAGGGUCAGAUUCUUGCAAAGACAAUAAUGAUUGGAUUAUGGUCUUGCUCUGAUCAGGUGAUGAGGCUGAACCACUUCAGUUCUUCAACUUUCCUCACUCAGAUCGUGCAUGAAAUCAUCAAACUUCCCCUGGUAAUUCUUCAACAUCUUCCUAUACGUUUUCCCAAGACCAAGCCACCUCAUUAUUGGCACAUAUUGACAAAUGUCCGCGGGCAACUUUGCCGAGAACAUAUCAAUCGACAUUAUUGGAAAUAGUAAUCAAGAUUAAUGUCCAGUAGAGGACCUCUGAAUCCAAAGCCAUGCUGGAGAAGCAAAGGCAAGUGAUGUAGCUAUGUAAGUUUCACACUUUCACUCUUAUCGAUCUGACAUAGGCAGUAAUCAAAUCAAUGGCCAAAGCGACAGCAACAGUAGCCUGAUAUGUAUAGAUGGCAAAAGAGGAGAUUCCAUAGAUAUCUUCCCGCCUGCCACAGAAUUAGUAUGACCUUCCACCAACGUUGGAUUUUGUCACUAAGAUACUUGCAUUCCCCCAGAAACAAACACUAUAAGACAAUAGAUACAGUUGUUAAAAGUUAGCAUUGUUUUUUAGAUUUGGUCACAAAUUCUCGCACAAAACUUGGCCAAAGUGACUUGUGAUUUGAGAGAUGUGUACAUUUAUUCCUUUUGCACAUUAUGCGCAUUAAUCAAGUUGUUUAAUGUGAACACACAGAUCGAAUAUUAGUUGUAAACAGAAAUAAAGAUUUUAUACACGAAGGAUGGCUAAGUUCUAGUACAAUAAUUAAGAAUAGUCUUGCCUGCCACUUCAUGAUAACGACAUGAUAGCUUCUGCUACCACAAUUCACUGCUUCUAG
rnacentral:lncRNA from 1 species